UACAGAGGGUGCAAGCGUUAAUCGGAAUUACUGGGCGUAAAGCGUGCGUAGACGGUUAUGUAAGUCAGAUGUGAAAGCCCCGGGCUCAACCUGGGAAUUGCAUUUGAGACUGCAUAGCUAGGGUGCGGAAGAGGGAAGCGGAAUUUCCGGUGUAGCGGUGAAAUGCGUAGAUAUCGGGAGGAACACCAGUGGCGAAGGCGACUACCUGGCCUGUUCUUGACGCUGAGGCGCGAAAGCUAGGGGAGCAAACGGG
rnacentral:rRNA from 1 species